rnacentral:rRNA from 1 species
UACGAAGGGGGCUAGCGUUGUUCGGAAUUACUGGGCGUAAAGGGCGCGUAGGCGGUGUGUCAAGUCAGGCGUGAAAGCCCCGGGCUCAACCUGGGAACCGCGCUUGAGACUGGCACGCUCGAGUUCGGGAGAGGAUGGUGGAAUUCCCAGUGUAGCAGUGAAAUGCGUAGAGAUGUGGAGGAACACCGAUGGCGAAGGCAGCCUCCUGGGCCAGCACUGACGCUCAUGCACGAAAGCGUGGGGAGCAAACAGG